UACGAAGGGGGCUAGCGUUGUUCGGAAUUACUGGGCGUAAAGCGCACGUAGGCGGCUUUGUAAGUUAGAGGUGAAAGCCCGGGGGCUCAACUCCGGAACUGCCUUUAAGACUGCAUCGCUUGAAUCCAGGAGAGGUGAGUGGAAUUCCGAGUGUAGAGGUGAAAUUCGUAGAUAUUCGGAAGAACACCAGUGGCGAAGGGCGGCUCACUGGACUGGUAUUGACGCUGAGGUGGCGAAAGCCAGGGGAGCAAAGCGGG
rnacentral:rRNA from 1 species